rnacentral:rRNA from 1 species
GAUGAACGCUGGCGGCGUGCUUAACACAUGCAAGUCGAACGAAGCACUUUAUUUGAUUUCCUUCGGGACUGAUUAUUUUGUGACUGAGUGGCGGACGGGUGAGUAACGCGUGGGUAACCUGCCUUGUACAGGGGGAUAACAGUUGGAAACGGCUGCUAAUACCGCAUAAGCGCACAGCAUCGCAUGCUGCAGUGUGAAAAACUCCGGUGGUAUAAGAUGGACCCGCGUUGGAUUAGCUAGUUGGUGAGGUAACGGCCCACCAAGGCGACGAUCCAUAGCCGACCAGGGAGGGUGACCGGCCACAUUGGGACUGAGACACGGCCCAAACUCCUACGGGAGGCAGCAGUGGGGAAUAUUGCACAAUGGGCGAAAGCCUGAUGCAGCGACGCCGCGUGAGCGAAGAAGUAUUUCGGUAUGUAAAGCUCUAUCAGCAGGGAAGAUAAUGACGGUACCUGACUAAGAAGCACCGGCUAAAUACGUG